CCGAGCCGAGCCGAGCCGGGCGGAGCGGGUCGGGCCGCGCCGCUGUCACACGCCCGUGCCGCAUCAGCGCUGGCCCCUCCCCGCCCGCGGCCCAACCGCACCGCAUCUGCAUGGAGCAAAGUGAAAAAUGACACUGCAGGACAUACAGUUCUUGAAGGAAAAUUCAAGUACCCUGCUAUUCCUACAAACUGGCACGUGACUUUUAAAAAACAGAGGACUACAUGAAAACCUGCUCAGGGAUAAACAUCUAAUUUCAGGAUUAAGCAAGGCUGGUAGGGAAAGAAGAAUAGCAACAGAAUGACCUUCUUCUGUUUCUCAGUAAUAAAGCAAAAUAAAAUAGAACCAUCUCCAGCCUGACAAGUAAAUAUCAUAAAACCUUCACAUUUGAGCAUGUGGGAAACAGAAGUUAUUCUGUACCUGCACCUGUACAGAACACAUUUUACAAUACUAGAAAUGUUAUUUCUGCAUUGAGAGCCUUAAUCAGUACUGUGGUGGUACCCACAGCUCUCCAGUAUCUGCCCUGUCCUGUUCAGAAAAGAGGAAGGAAGCCUUGCAAAUGCUGAUAUUUAGUUUGGACAACAGGGUUCUAACCUAUGUGAUGGAGCAGGUUUAUUUUGCCCUUCCCUGACACAUUAUGUUCUCACUUUGGAUUUGUUUUUCUGAAGACAAAAGGGUCUAUGAGCAUAAUGCACUGCACACAAAAUCCCAACUUUGCCAAGGUCGUUGGCAAAGAGUGACACAAACAGCCAAUUUACUCUCAACUAUUUAACACCACAGUUACACCAGUCUGGGUCCAGAAGGCACUUCCCUUCAACACCUCUGCCUGGCCUUACAAAAGUCUGUCCAGAUCCCUUUGGAAAGCCUUCCUGCCCUCCAGCAAAUCAAAACCUCCAGUGCAGACCAGCUGCCACCUAGCUAUAACUUCAUUUACCACCACUCCCUUAUCUCAGCCAUCCAGCCAGUUUUAACUCAGCAAAGAACACGCCCAUCCAAGCAAGGAGCUGCCAGUUUCUCCAGGAGAAUGUUGUGGCAAACUGUGUCAAAGGCUUUACUAAAGUUCAUGCAGCAACAUCCACAGCCUUUCCCUCACCCACUAGGAAGGUCACUUCACCACAGAAUGAGAUGAACUGGGUCAAGCAGGACCUGCCUUUCAUGAACCUGGGCUGGCUGGGUGCGAUCCCAAUUGUCCUGUACGCGCUGCUUGAUGUUGCUCAGGACAAUCUGCUCCAUGACCUUCCCUGGCACUGAGGUCAGGCUGACAGGCCUCUUGUUCCCUGGACCCUCCUUCCAACCCCUUUGAUCGAUGGGCGUCACACUUACUGACCUGCAGGUCAAUUAAGACCCACUCCUCCCUGUUACCCAGGGCUGCUGGUAAAUGAUGGAAGGUGCCUCAGUGAACAUUUUCACCAGCUCCCUCAGUCCCCUCAGCUGGAUCCAGCCCCAUAGGUAUGUGUGUGUCUUAUGGGGGCUUCAUUCUGCUCCCCAUCCUUGUCUUUCAGCUCAAGGCACCCAAGAACAACUGGCCUUACUGUUAAAGACUGAGGCAAAGAAGGCAUUAAGUACUUCAUCUAUUUCCUCAUUCUUUGUCACUAUUGUUUCCCCCUGCAUCCAAUAUGGAAUGGAGGUUCUCCUUCACCUUCCUUUUGUCCCUGAUGUAUUACAGAGGGUGGAUUCCCAUGUGAAGGUAACACUGAGAAGCUUCCUCCUAUUGGCUGUAAUGACUGAAACUGAAAGCAAUGUCACCCUGCAGGGCAUUUGAUUCCAAAAAUCAAGCAGCACAUUUGAGUAAAAAUACAUAGUAACAACUUCUGUCUUCAAAUACACAGAAAAUGAACUCAUGUUCUGUCCUUUCUGAGAAAACAAUCAUAUGGAAAACUUAUUAUUGGAAAUAAAUAGAUAAUACAUUAUGCAAA